rnacentral:rRNA from 1 species
UAUUAAAGGCUGGGCGGCAGGACUAACACAUGCAAGUCGAGCGGUAGAGAGAAGCUUGCUUCUCUUGAGAGCGGCGGACGGGUGAGUAAUGCCUAGGAAUCUGCCUGGUAGUGGGGGAUAACGUUCGGAAACGGACGCUAAUACCGCAUACGUCCUACGGGAGAAAGCAGGGGACCUUCGGGCCUUGCGCUAUCAGAUGAGCCUAGGUCGGAUUAGCUAGUUGGUGGGGUAAUGGCUCACCAAGGCGGCGACGGGUAGCCGGCCUGAGAGGGUGGACGGCCACAUUGGGACUGAGGUACGGCCCAGACUCCUACGGGAGGCAGCAGUGGGGAAUAUUGCACAAUGGGCGCAAGCCUGAUGCAGCGACGCCGCGUGGGGGAUGACGGCCUUCGGGUUGUAAACUCCUUUCGCUAGGGACGAAGCUUUUGUGACGGUACCUAGAUAAGAAGCACCGGCUAACUACGUGCCAGCAGCCGCGGUAAUACGUAGGGUGCGAGCGUUGUCCGGAAUUACUGGGCGUAAAGGGCUCGUAGGUGGUUUGUCGCGUCGUCUGUGAAAUUCCGGGGCUUAACUCCGGGCGUGCAGGCGAUACGGGCAUAACUUGAGUACUGUAGGGGUAACUGGAAUUCCUGGUGUAGCGGUGAAAUGCGCAGAUAUCAGGAGGAACACCGAUGGCGAAGGCAGGUUACUGGGCAGUUACUGACGCUGAGGAGCGAAAGCAUGGGUAGCGAACAGGAUUAGAUACCCUGGUAGUCCAUGCCGUAAACGGUGGGCGCUAGGUGUGAGGGUCUUUUCACGACUUUCGUGCCGUAGCUAACGCAUUAAGCGCCCCGCCUGGGGAGUACGGCCGCAAGGCUAAAACUCAAAUGAAUUGACGGAAGGC